GGAUUGUGGCUCAGUGGUAGAGUGCUUUCCUUGUACCUGCGAGGCCCUGGGUUCAAUCCUCAGCACCA
rnacentral:tRNA from 1 species